rnacentral:rRNA from 1 species
CUUCGGGCUGCAGUGCUAUUAUUGGAGCAAAACUAUUCGUUAGUCCUUUUGCUAACUCUGGAUAAUACUGCGUAUCGCACGACCUGGUGUCGGCGAAGUUUCAUUCGAGUAUCUGCCCUAUCAACUGGUUGGCAGUGUAUUGGACUGCCAUGGUUCUAACGGGUAACGGAGGAUCAGGGUCUGACUCCGGAGAGGGAGCCUUAGAAACGGCUACCAUGUCUAAGGAUAGCAGCAGGCGCGAAAAUUACCCAAUAUCAAUACGAUGAGGUAGUGACGAGAAAUAACGAGUCCGUUCUCUUUGAGGUCGGACAUUGGAAUGGGUACAAUGUAGACAAUUUAACGAGUAUCUACGAGAGGGCAAGUCUGGUGCCAGCAGCCGCGGUAAUUCCAGCUCUCGUAAUACAUAGAAUUAUUGUUGCGGUUAAAAAGUUCAUAGUUGGAUUGUCGAACCGUUCGGGGUGCGUUCGAAAGAGCGUCACUCGUGGGCGGUAUUUUGUGUGUUUGCGGACGUCGGGCUUUCGGGUCGGGCGCGCCGUUGCACGCAGGAUUACUUUGAACGGCUUAAGUGCUCAAGGCGGGUCUUAGGACUGAAUACCGGUGCAUGGAAUAAUGGAACAAGGUUGCGGCCGAGUUUUAUUGGUUUUGUCGGCUGAAACAAUGGUUAACAGGAACAGCCGGGGGCAUUCGUAUCGCUGCGCGAGAGGUGAAAUUCGGGGACCGUAGCGAGACGCACGAAAGCGAAGGCAUUUGCCAAGAGUGUUUUCAUUAAUCAAGAACGAAAGUCAGAGGUUCGAAGGCGAUUAGAUACCGCCUAUUUUCCCCCCCAAA